rnacentral:misc_RNA from 1 species
UGGUUCUGGCAUCGAUGAAGAACGCAGCAAAAUGCGAUAAGUAAUGCGAAUUGCAGAAUUUCCGUGAGUCAUCGAAUCUUUGAACGCACAUUGCGCCCUUUGGUAUUCCGAAGGGCAUGCCUGUUCGAGCGUCAUUAUCAACCUUCAAACUAUAUGUUUGUAGUUGGGUCAUGUUUUAGAUCCCUAAAACAGACCCCAAAGACAAUGAUGGUAUCUAUAUGGAUGUGAUACAAUGAGCUUUUUAAGCACGUAUCUUAGCUAUAUCGAUCACUGUCGACAACCACAUCUCCUCAAUGGUUGACCUCGGAUCAGGUAGGAAUACCCGCUGA